rfam:Propionispora sp. 2/2-37 isolate 2/2-37 genome assembly, contig: 2/2_contig9
GUUAUUAAGUGGAAGCCAUCCGCUUCUCACCUUGCGGCUUUAGCUAGUAAGGUUAAUAUGGGCAUGGUUUGAUUGUGCUUUUUAGCGGGUGGCAUGUAUGUGCCAUCCGUUUUUAUUUUAGUUC